CAAAAACAUGUCCUAUAGAUUUUAAUUUUAGGUCUAGCCUGCCCACUGAUAGUAUAUUAAAUGGCCGCAGUAUUUUAACUGUGCAAAGGUAGCAUAAUCAUUAGUCUUUUAAUUGAAGGCUGGAAUGAAUGGUUGGACGAAGCAUUAUCUGUCUCAUACUAGAUUAUAGAAUUUUAUUUUUUAGUUAAAAAGCUAAAAUUUUGUUGAAAGACGAGAAGACCCUAUAGAUCUUUAUAAAUAUUUUUUUAUUAAUAAUUAGAUGUUUAUUUUAUUAAAAAAUUUAUUUAUUUUAUUGGGGUGAUAUUAAAAUUUAAUAAACUUUUAAUUAUAAAUUUACAUUUAUGUAUGGUUAAAUGAUCCACUUUUAGUGAUUAUAAGAUUAAGUUACCUUAGGGAUAACAGCGUAAUCCUUUUGGAGAGUUCUUAUCGAUAAAAGGGGUUGCGACCUCGAUGUUGGACUAAAAUUAAUAUUGGGUGCAGAAGUUCAAUAAUUAAGUCUGUUCGACUUUUAAUUUUUUACAUGAUCU
rnacentral:rRNA from 1 species